GGUCCCGUAGUUCAACGGAUAGAACGAGCGUUUCCUAAACGCUAAAUACAUGUUCGAUUCAUGUCGGGAUCA
rnacentral:tRNA from 1 species